ACCCAUACCGAACACAGAAGUUAAGCCCUCCAGCGCUGAUGGUACUUAGGCGGAAACGCCUUGGGAGAGUAGGACGUUGCUGGGU
rnacentral:rRNA from 1 species